GAAGCCGCUCGUCUGACUGCACGAACUGAAGUCCGCGUAGGCCGAUGCCAAGCUCGACGUGUCCAUCCCGGCCAUACAUGACUCGUAGGCAGAGGAAUUUAGAUGUUGCAGCCAGUUCCUGGAGAGCCCGGCUCGUCCCUCCUGGCCUCAUCGGCCCCUCCGAGUCUUUAUCUGCGCUUCCCGAGUGACCAAGAGACCAGCCAGCGGAUUAACAUAAAAAUCUUAUUCCGGGGGAUAAGAUUAGGAAACAUAUUACCCUCUAACGCGGCCUUGGCACGAGCGAGAGCCAGGCAAGGAAUCAAUUACUAAAUUACUCCAACCUCUAAGUCGACAUUAACGCAGAGAAAUGCCAUCGACCGCUUCUGAAAUAAGAUUUCGCUAAGAUGCGAUCAUUAAAUCUCUUGCCAGUGUUCAAGAAUUUGAUUCAUAAAAUCGUCUGAAAUGAGAUGGAAUUAAAUUCUUAUCGGGGCUCUUGUCAUCGUUUCAUCCCGCGCUGUUUAACGGUGGUCAAUGGCCUUCAUGAGAUUUUCCCUGUAAAUAAACUUAGUAAUCGAAUCCGCCUCUCCGCGACACAUUGUUUGGUUGUUAUUAAUUUAUUGCAGCCGAGCAGGGCGGUGGGGUGGAGAGAAGCAGGCCAGGAGGCUGCCGGCUGAGAGCCUGGCUGCGGGUUCUCUCUGAAGGUUUCAGAUCACACGAACAGCGAAGCAUUGUGGGUUUGGACUCCGUUUGGCUGCAACAAGCUUUGAGAGGAAGGGGUGACUGAAACAUCUGUCAUUUUUUUCUGCAUUUCACCCCUAGUGGGGUCAAAGCAUAUUUUAUUUAGCAUAGUCCACUGGCAUUACCCCCCCUAUCCUCUCUCCGCACCCACCCCGACAUUAGCAGUUGACAAUUAUUAUCCCCAACCCCAUAAAUCAGAUGCGUGACCCGUUAUUAUUGUUGAAUUGAAUAGCUGUUGGGGAAGUGAGGGUCAGUGUCAUUAACUUGCCUCCACAGCCACCCCACACACACACACCACCCUCGGGCCCCCUGAAGGCAUUUGGCCCUCUAUACAAGGACCUGCUGGCUAAUAAUGCCGUGUGGCCUGCCCAGAAGCUUAAUCACACAUGCAUUAAGGGGAAGACAGCGGGCCUUUGUGCACACGUAGGUUUACUGGAAUUAAGCGAUUAAUGGUCAUCUCAGCGGCAGGCGACGACGCAGCGCACAGAGCACGACGCAGCGCUGUUUUACGGCAAAAAACGUGAAAAAGGGUUGGACAAAGAGAAGAAGUAAAGGAAGGAAGGAGAUGAGAUGCAAUUACAGUAGUCCGUGUCCCCCAAUCCAUCAUGCAACGUCAAGGUCAUUGUGUAUUGUAUUGAUUAUGAUACAAGGCUUUGUGAUGUUUAUUACACCCCUCCUGCUUCCAUAUAAUAAUAUGCAAAAAUGCCGCAUGUAAACACCUGCUAUCAAUUUCUAAAGCUGCUAAUUUGCCUCGCCUCGUGGUUCCUCCUUUCUCUCCCAGUUUCAUAUUCCUCACUUGUGUUAUGACUGAACACGUGGCCGCGCAUUAAACUGUUUUGCCUGCAGCCUCCAUCUGCAUAAACCAUCAGGCAGCUCAUAUGAAUUAUGAUUUCCAUAUAGUCAAAAAGGGGAGGGGUGACCCAAUGAGAGCCAACAACAGGGCUUCUCAAAUAUAUUGUUUCUUAUACAAAUGAGAUGUCAGAGCCGUUAAUUAACUUAUCAGUGACGCACUGGGUUAACUGGGAAUAGAGGGUGAUGUAACAAUGCUAAUUUAAUAGUAUUAGAAAAGUUGAAUUUAUAUCUGAAGGGAAAAUAUAUACAAAAAAUAGCUAUAACAAAUAUUUUGUGAAGCAUUUCGACAUCAUUCACCUGCCCACACAGGUGUUGGGAGUCAAGUCUCCUCCUCAGGUUCACCUGGGAGUUUAUGGAUGUACCAGAAAACUUUCAGUCUUUCUUUUAUAGAUUACUGAUUUCCUAAUAGUUUUACUUUUUAAAUGUUUGAUUUGCAGGAGUCAGUGAGGCUGAUCUGCAGUAAGUAAAGUGAACAAGUUUGUAAGAAACUAUUCCAAAUCUAAUCCAUUUGCUGUUUUUUAUUGCUAUUUUCCUCAAACUUCUAUUUUAUUUUUAUACUUUGUCUGGAGAAUUUACUUCCAACAUGACUUAUAUUACUUAAUUCUAGAACCACCAGUCAUACUUUGGAAACCAUAAUGAUACAGAAUUAAUUUAGACUUUGGGAUUUUUAUUCUUACACUUGUGGGAUGAAUGAAUGGAUAAAACAUGCAAUGUGUGCACCAGUUGGGCAGUAUGUUGCUUUAGGCUGUUUUCUGCUGGUAAAAAUGAAAUCCUGUCAUUCUUUUGGAUCUUUUCAUGAAAACGACCAACAGAAUCUUUCAUCUUUAAUUUGGGAUUUUGCACAGUUCCUCCUCAGCAGAAACAACCUGAACCUUCUGAGCUGCAUGCUAGACAAGGAAUGCAAACUCUUGAAUUUUAUGUUCAUCCUUUUGUCAUUGGUCUUCUAAAGAACAGCUAUCUAUAUUGACAGUGGAGGGUAAAUUAUAUUGCCAUGACCACCACCCAAUGGCAGAGCUUGUUGAUCAAUCAAACCUAAUUUGAUUGGAUGGAAGUCUUAAAGAACAGCCAGAUGGGAGCUAUCAGAGCGGGUCUGUCCACUGAUUCACUUCCUGUUCCCAGAAGGCGUUUUCUGGGCUCUGAAGGAUGAUGGUGCACCACAGAGCCGGAUGAGACAGAUUCCGUGUUCUGGAUCAAAUCAAUACGUGUGAACAGUAACUAAAUGCAAAGCCAUCAUUUCUUUAUUUACCUUUUGCAACUGUUUUUCCUGAGGAUUUUGACUGAGGACUGCACCUGAUGCAAUAAUUUUUGUAUUUUUCAGAUUUUCAAUAAUCAUUGAAAUUGAUGACGACCCUAAUCCUGUGUGAGAUUUCUCUGUGUCCCCAGAAUCAAAUCACUAACUUGUCUUUGCUUUUUUAGGUACACUGUGGUUGGGAUUAUUGACUUGUUGAGCAAAUAAAACGUUAUUUCCUUUAAUACAAAUUUAUCUUUUAAAGAUCUAUGUC